rnacentral:rRNA from 1 species
GAUGAACGCUGGCGGCGUGCCUAAUACAUGCAAGUCGAGCGAACAGACGAGGAGCUUGCUCCUCUGACGUUAGCGGCGGACGGGUGAGUAACACGUGGAUAACCUACCUAUAAGACUGGGAUAACUUCGGGAAACCUGAGCUAAUACCGGAUAAUAUAUUGAACCGCAUGGUUCAAUAGUGAAAGACGGUUUUGCUGUCACUUAUAGAUGGAUCCGCGCCGCAUUAGCUAGUUGGUAAGGUAACGGCUUACCAAGGCGACGAUGCGUAGCCGACCUGAGAGGGUGAUCGGCCACACUGGAACUGAGACACGGUCCAGACUCCUACGGGAGGCAGCAGUAGGGAAUCUUCCGCAAUGGGCGAAAGCUUGACGGAGCAACGCCGCGUGAGUGAUGAAGGUCUUCGGAUCGUAAAACUCUGUUAUUAGGGAAGAACAAAUGUGUAAGUAACUAUGCACGUCUUGACGGUACCUAAUCAGAAAGCCACGGCUAACUACGUG